AAACUUACCUAGCUAGGGAGAUACCACGAUCACAAAGGUCAUGGUUUUCCCAGAGCGAGGCUUUUCCAUUGGAUUCUGGAUAUACUAAGCCCUGUAAUUUCCCAAAAUUCAAGAAGCUUGACUGCAUCCAUUGUGGUAUGGGGGACUGUAUUGGCACUCUCACCAU
ensembl:snRNA U1 U1 spliceosomal RNA